GAUGAACGCUGGCGGCGUGCCUAAUACAUGCAAGUCGAACGCUCAUUUCCUCCGCUUGCCUUUCUCUCGUUUGCGGCGGGCGGUGGCGUAACACUUAGAUACCCUUCCUUAACCUCCCCGUUAGCUUCGGGAAACCGUAGCUAACACCUGCUAAUAUCUUAAACCGCAUUGUUCAAUAUUGCAUGACGGUUUUGCUGUCUCUUAUAUAUGGAUCCGCGCCGCAUUAGCUAGUUGGUAAGGUAACGGCUUACCAAGGCAACGAUGCGUAGCCGACCUGAGAGGGUGAUCGGCCACACUGGAACUGAGACACGGUCCAGACUCCUACGGGAGGCAGCAGUAGGGAAUCUUCGGCAAUGGGCGAAAGCCUGACGGAGCAACGCCGCGUGAGUGAAGAAGGUCUUCGGAUCGUAAAACUCUGUUAUUAGAGAAGAACAAAUAUGUAAGUAACUAAGCACGUCUUGACGGUACCUAAUCAGAAAGCCACGGCUAACUACGUG
rnacentral:rRNA from 1 species